rnacentral:rRNA from 1 species
GAUGAACGCUAGCUACAGGCUUGACACAUGCAAGUCGAGGGGAAACGACAUUGGAAGCUUGCUUCCGAUGGGCGUCGACCGGCGCACGGGUGAGUAACGCGUAUCCAACCUGCCCAUCACUUGGGGAUAACCUUGCGAAAGUAAGACUAAUACCCAAUGAUAUCUCUAGAAGACAUCUGAAAGGGAUUAAAGAUUUAUCGGUGACGGAUGGGGAUGCGUCUGAUUAGCUUGUUGGCGGGGUAACGGCCCACCAAGGCGACGAUCAGUAGGGGUUCUGAGAGGAAGGUCCCCCACAUUGGAACUGAGACACGGUCCAAACUCCUACGGGAGGCAGCAGUGAGGAAUAGUGGUCAAUGGGCGAGAGCCUGAACCAGCCAAGUAGCGUGCAGGAUGACGGCCCUAUGGGUUGUAAACUGCUUUUAUAAGGGAAUAAAGUGAGUCUCGUGAGACUUUUUGCAUGUACCUUAUGAAUAAGGACCGGCUAAUUCCGUGCCAGCCGCCGCAGUAA